rnacentral:rRNA from 1 species
GACAGAGGUGCCGAGCGUUAUGCGGAAUCACUGGGCUUAAAGCGUGUGUAGGCGGAUUGGUAAGUACCUUGUGAAAUCCCACGGCUUAACCGUGGAACUGCUGGGUAUACUGCUUAUCUUGGGCCACUUAGGGGCUAGCGGAACAAACGGUGGAGCGGUGAAAUGCGUAGAUAUCGUUUGGAACGCCAAUGGUGAAAACAGCGAGCUGGGAGUGUGCCGACGCUGAGACACGAAAGCCAGGGGAGCGAACGGG